rnacentral:tmRNA from 1 species
GGGGGUGCCAUGGAUUCGACUGUGUAUUUGCGGGUGGCAUUGCGUGCCGAAGACGACGGUUGGCUUCGUCAUCAAUCCGUCAAAACAAUAAAUGGCAAUAAUAAUGUCAUGGUCGUAGACUUCAGCAGAAAUGCUGUUGGCUACGCCACCGCUGCCUAGUUUAGGUGGCACACCGUCCCGUUUGAUGCUCGAUGGAAUGGGAACGGUGUCGACUUAUCGAGCGUCCGCGUGAGUUUUCGCGGUGUAUUGCGCGGACUAUUUAACGCUGCGAUAGUCGCGGCAUAGUGUGCCGACGCACGCUGCUGCGGCGAAAUUAAAGCAUCGGAUAUGCGCGUAGAUGUGCCAUUUGGUGAUACGCAGGACGCGGGUUCAAUUCCCGCCACCUCCACCA